rnacentral:rRNA from 1 species
GAUGAACGCCGGCGGCGUGCCUAAUACAUGCAAGUCGAGCGAACGGAUAAGGAGCUUGCUCCUUUGAAGUUAGCGGCGGACGGGUGAGUAACACGUGGGCAACCUACCUAUAGGACUGGAAUAACUUCGGGAAACCGGAGCUAAUGCCGGAUAACAUUUGGAACCGCAUGGCUCUAAAGUAAAAGAUGGUUUUGCUAUCACUUAUAGAUGGACCCGCGCCGUAUUAGCUAGUUGGUAAGGUAACGGCUUACCAAGGCAACGAUACGUAGCCGACCUGGGAGGGUGAUCGGCCAUACUGGAACUGAGACACGGUCCAG